AACACGACACCUAUUUGUCAUCGAUCGCUUCCAUGCGUGGCAUGUUUCAUUCAUUAUCCGACAUUUGUGCUUCUACAAAUCAAGCCGGCCACAUCCAUAUUCCAUAUUUCGUGGUAUUCCACAGUGAAAGUCUUCUGGGAUGCGUUUGAUACGGGUGGUGAGAUAAUUGGGAACUGUGUCCAACGUGUAAAAAUGAUGAGGUGCGUUGAUUUAUCGGUUUCAUUAAGUCAAAAGGAUGGAGUCGAAGGACUUAAAAUGUUUUGUUGUUGAUGACAUGGACGUAUCUCAUGUGAUGGUAUGUGCACCUUGCUUGGAGGACCUGGAAGGUGAUGGUGUUACAGUUGAAUAAUAUUUGACACUGAUACAGUCUUUGUUUUACGUCGGAUUAAUUAAUUACUUGGUGCUGAUCAAGAUACUGUUUGAAAUAGCGAUUGAUAAAUGAAUACAAAAACCCCUAACAUGCAACGACUCAGGAAAAAUCAAGAUUCAGAUUGAUUUUCUUCGUGCUUUGAUCUUCAUGGAGUACCUUCCUUCAAAUUUUGUUGGUGUGUCUAACUUAGGCGCUGGCUUGCAACAUCACACAUCGCGAUGUGAUUGUGUGACUGUUAAUAGUUUAAUUAAAAUUAAUGAUGAACGCUU